UUCAGCUCAAAUUCGAGCAACCCAAGCCUUGCUACCUUGCCUAAACCUUGUCCUCAACCCCCUGAAGCCUCAACCACCACCCUUAGCCACCAAAAACCGCCACAGACACGGUGGUGCACGGCCAAAACUUCACAUCACGGCCAAACUUUGGAAUUUUCAUUCUAGACCGAUUCAACCUCUAAUUUUUGCUCCAAUAGCUUCCUUGAGAUCAUUAGAGUGUAAACCAUCCCUUACUCGAGCUCAAUUGUCCAUGAAAUAGCCCAACCGAGCUCGAGAAGCUCUGAAACUUUGAGCUCUUCGUUCUCCCUCAAUUCUCCAUCGUUUUUGUCGAUUCAAGUGUCCAUCUUGCUUAGAAUUUAUAAGGAAGCUAUCUGUGCAAGAAUUUUGAAGCUUGGAGGUCUGGUUUGUAAUCUGCCAUUGUUGACCGAGAAAGCUUUCAGACAAGGAACGACACAGAAAAAGGAUCCGAAGAGAAGGGGAUCGAGUAGAGGUUCGCUCGUGGCAAGCCCAGGCAUAAUAAUAGCUAGUAAUGAAUAAAGACCGGCUUUGUAAGAUUUAGUUUUUGUGAAGACUAGACUCAUGCUUUACUAUUGUGAAUAUGGUGUGUACUGAUGUACCUUGUAAACAUGUUUUUGAUGAAUAAAACAGGGGAAAGGCUCAAAGAAGUCCAGGCGAAACUCUGGGUCGUCCUGUCUAGGAAAGGAAUCGCUUUUAAUCACCUUUACGGGGGCUAACUUUCCUUGGGACGUGCUCAGAUGAUCAAAUGGAGGACGAUGGGCCCUACCCUAUUUGUUACUUC